rnacentral:lncRNA from 1 species
UCAACACAAGCUCCAAGCUUCAAUGCGUUGAUCGGACACGUUGGUUGAGCACUUCCUCCUCCAGAAGGUGGACCACCAUGAUACGGUGGAUAACCAGAGGAUGGUGGUGGAGUUGUGAUCGGAGGUGGGUUAAUGAUCGGAGGGAGAAGUCCUGGAGGUGUUGUGAUUGGAGGGAGAAUUCCUGGAGGAGUUGUGACCGGAGGUGGGUUAAUGAUCGGAGGGAGAAUUCCUGGAGGAGUUGUGACCGGAGGAGGUCUUACCAUUGGUGGUGGAUAGACGACUGGAGGAGGUCUUGAGAUAGGCGGUGGCCUCACCACUGGUGGUGGAUAAACCACCGGAGGAGGUCUAACAAACGGCGGUGAUGUCCCUCCACCAUGAUGUGGUGGCCCACCACCACCACCACCAUGAUGCGGCGGCCCACCACCUUUUCCACCGUGAUGUGGCGGUUUACUACCACCUUUUCCUCCGUGAU